AGAGGUACAACUUAGUGGUAGAGUGUGUGCUUAGCAAGCAUAAGGUCCUGGGUUCAAUCCCCAGUACCUCCA
rnacentral:tRNA from 1 species